CAACUCUCAUGCAAGAAAAUCACAACUUGCAAUCAAGAAGAAAUUCUCAUUUGAGCAAAAACAAAAUCUGAAAGACUGAGCAGGGUGGUUUUUGUGUCCAUAAAGCGGUUUUGGUUGCUGUGCAGUAUCUAAAGAAAGUGCUUGUAUCUCUGAAUAAUAUUACCACAGAUUAAAUAAGAUGGAGAGAAGAGGUGCAGUGGGCAGAUAGUCUUACCAAGCGUGAGUGAGCGAAUGUGUGAGGGAGUUUACUUCUGGAUCAAUGAGGUCCACAUUCAUUCAGCCUUUAACGGACAGUUAAAGUGAACUUCUAGUGAGAUACUUGAUAAUGGGCCCAGUCGCUGUGAGAGAAGAUAACACAGAGUCAAAUCUGCCAAAGUGCAAAAAACAAACAAAACAACAGAAGAAAAUAGAGAUUAAACUGCUCCUCUUGUUUAAAGACGUGCAAGACAAGUGGAAUCCAAGAAUAUAAAUUGUCCAUAUAUGUUAAUGUGUAACUUUGUCAACUAUGUGAUAGUCCUGUAUAAUAACUAGGGUGUUUUCAGCACUCACAGUGGACGAGUGCCAACAGUGCCCUCUAGUUUGGCUGAAAUCAGCACUUGGACAACCAGCCCCUUGCAUUUGUUUCUAUUAUAAUAUUCCUUUUUUUUUUUUGGCAGAUCUUCUAAACAAUGCCGGUGCACAUAUCAAAUUACUUUUGGAGCUCUCUAGUGGUACAGCUAUGAGACUGUACAGAGACAUUUUGACAUGUCACAGCAGGAAAAACACAGGUGUGAAUAAUACAAAUUAAUGAUGGCUGAAUUCCAUUUAGCUGCUUCAGUUUCAGGUUCCUGGUAUCAUGCAUGCUGCCUUCACUGUCACAAUUGCUAACAUUAUUAGAAACGCCUGUGCUUUUCCUACUAUGACAAGUCAACUGGCUGUGUAAGAGGUCCAUUAAAUUUGUUACAUUAAAGUGUUAAACACACAAAUGAAGCUUUUAUCAGGUCAACAAGGGUCUGAAAGAGUCUGAAAAAUAAAUUGCCAUAUACAUGACACAUACAUGACAUGUGACCAUGGACAUUUUAAGAGAACAUUUCUGGUGUGUCUGAAACAGCAGAAAUAGAAGCAACGUCAGGCACUAAAAAUGACACAGAACCAGUUUGUUCUUUUCCUGUUUGGUGGCUGCAUAUUAAAAAAAAAAAACAAGGAAACACUCCUAGUUGAUCUUUCUAUCAGAGUUAGUGUAGGUGUAGACAGCGGUGUCAUCUGAUGAUGAAGGUAAGAAUAGGCACCUUAUUUUUAGACUUAGUUUUAAGCUCAGGAAGGAGAACACACGAGCAACACUACCUUCUGUUCUGACUGACUGCCGAGAAGAAAUUUGGUCAACUGGCGAUGGGUGGCUCCUCCUCCAAAAGAAGCUUUGUCUGGCAAAAGAAGAAGAAGUCACCUCUGGACAAAGCCUGGAGUCAGCUGAGGGGGGCGCUACCCAAUAAGAAACACAAGAAGAAGAGUGUCCUGUCACUGAAUAAACUAAACCUGGUUAACCCAAAGAGGGAGAAGCAUUCUCAGAAGAGAUUCUCACUGUCGACAGACAAGAAAGAGCCGAUAUUGCUGAAAAGAUUCUCUCUUGGUAACACAAGGAAGGAUUCGGUACAGACUGCUUCACCGGGAAUGAAGGAGAAGGACAGAGGAGGGCUGGGAAAAGUAGGAGAGCAGAUAAAGAGGAAAUUUUCUCAAGACCCUAAGGACAGGCUUGGGACUUAACAAGAGGUUGUCCCUCCCUCUGUGAACCUGAAGGACAGAAAGGAAGAAAGCGACAAAUGGACUGAAAAAAUGGAGCAUCUAAAAAGAGACUCAAUGAGAUCAGUUUGUCCAUGACUCUCCAACAGGAUCCAAAGCAAAUGGACUAUUUAGAGAGAAAGAACCUUGAAUAUGGCAGGAAGACAAAAGAAAGGAUGUCAGUAAACAGGCCACAGGAGAGUCGUCAGAGAGAUAACAUGUAUUCAAAGUUUUUAAUGGCCUCACGGUCAGUUACUGAGGGCAGAAACCAAGACACAGCAAACCAAAACACAAAGUUACAGUCAUAAAGGUUCUUUCCUAUUAAUAUCAUGCAGUCAGUUUCACUCAUUACCAUAAAUCAGCUGCAACAUAUGUACCCAAAAGAUUCAUAUCUCUCAUCUCACACUUGUCCUGCUUGACAAAAAGGUUCAUUUAAAAAUUAAAACAUUUCUGGAUAUUAUCCUAAUAAAAAAUGACAAGCUUG